ensembl:lncRNA
AUGAUGAGGAUCAUACUACUGCUUCUGGUCACCCUGACGGGGCCUUUCUGUACCUUUACCCAAGCAAGUACUCUGGUGGUGCCAACAGCUAUUGGUUCAACUCCACAACCAAAUCUUGCAUCAGAUUCACCUACUUUCACAUACACAACAGAGGUAACAUCUCCUCAAGAUGCUGUUUCAACGUCAGAGCCUGCUCCUGAGGUUACAGAAGCAGCUGCCACGACAGAAGAAGUGCCAAUGGUUUCCACAACAGCACCAGUGAUACAGUCAGAAGCCCCAUUCGAAACAACAGCCCUAACAGAUACAACACAAUCAACAGAAGCUGUACCUAUAGAGACAACCAGCCCUGAAGCCACUACUGUCUUUGCAGAAGCAGAAAUGCCUGAGAAAGUUGAAGACAUAGAAUCAAAGACUGCAGAUGAAGAGGUGGAGGAUGAAGGUAUGGGCACAGGACAGUUGGUGGGGAUCGUAAUCGGUGCAUUGAUCACAGUGAUUGUUGUCAUUGCUGUAAUCAUCUUGUUGGUCAGAAGAAUGGGCCAAUACUCGACUGCAAAGAAACGAAAGCCUCAAAAACAAAAGAGCAUCUUGAUCUCUGUAACUGUCUUACUGUUUCAUUGAUAACCCAUAUUAAUUAGUGUAACCCAGUUGCUCCUAAAAUGUUAAACAUGUUAGAGAUGGACAAAACUAUGUUGCUACUCCAAGCAGUCCUCUACCAGUGUCCAACCAAAUGGCAAAUAUUGGAGAAAAACACUACUGAACCAUUCAAGGGUCAGAAUGCUGAACAGGGACGUGAUGUCAUAAUGGACAUGUUUGUACAUUGUACAAAUGUACUGUUUUAAAAUUACGUAGCAACACAGUGGUGUUCAUGCUAUAUUUUUUGUGGUAUUAACAUGGUGUGAACCCCCCCCCCAAAAAAAAACAAAACAACAAUAAUAAUAUGGCAAAAAUAAUAAUAAUAAUAAUAAUAAUAAUAAUAAUAAUCGAAGUUCUGAACUAUUGUUCUGAUGUUAAAAACAAUCCAAGCAGCACUCUCACCAUCCAUCCAGGACUGUACGGGGAGCAGGAGAGUGUCCCAUCCCCUUUCCCAUUGAAAAAGAUGCCCUCCCACAAAAACACCUUCCCAGUGCCCACAAGUUAUUUUAUUUAGCCUGAAAAACCUUAUUUAUCCCAAUAGUGGGAGGCCACAGGAAGUUACAGUAUCUUUUUUUAAUGCAUAUUAAUGUAACAGGAGAUUAAUGAAUGUUCAAUUUGUAAAGGGCCUAAUAAACAAAAACAAACAAACA